rnacentral:rRNA from 1 species
GUAGGUGGCAAGCGUUAUCCGGAAUUAUUGGGCGUAAAGCGCGCGCAGGCGGUUUCUUAAGUCCGAUGUGAAAGCCCACGGCUCAACCGUGGAGGGUCAUUGGAAACUGGGGAACUUGAGUGCAGAAGAGAAAAGCGGAAUUCCACGUGUAGCGGUGAAAUGCGUAGAGAUGUGGAGGAACACCAGUGGCGAAGGCGGCUUUUUGGUCUGUAACUGACGCUGAGGCGCGAAAGCGUGGGGAGCAAACAGGAUUAGAUACCCUGGUAGUCCACGCCGUAAACGAUGAGUGCUAAGUGUUAGAGGGUUUCCCGCCCCUUUAGUGCUGCAGCUAACGCAUUAAGCACUCCGCCUGGGGAGUACGGUCGCAAGACUG